ACUCCUACGGGAGGCAGCAGUGGGGAAUAUUGCACAAUGGGCGCAAAGCCUGAUGCAGCCAUGCCGCGUGUGUNAAGAAGGCCUUCGGGUUGUAAAGCACUUUCAGUCGUGAGGAAGGGUGAGUGUAGUUAAUAGCUGCAUUAUUUGACGUUAGCGACAGAANAAGCGACCGGCUAACUCCGUGCCAGCAGCCGCGGUAAUACGGAGGGUGCGAGCGUUAAUCGGAAUUACUGGGCGUAAAGCGCAUGCAGGUGGUUUGUUAAGUCAGAUGUGAAAGCCCGGGGCUCAACCUCGGAAUUGCAUUUGAAACUGGCAGACUAGAGUACUGUAGAGGGGGGUAGAAUUUCAGGUGUAGCGGUGAAAUGCGUAGAGAUCUGAAGGAAUACCGGUGGCGAAGGCGGCCCCCUGGACAGAUACUGACACUCAGAUGCGAAAGCGUGGGGAGCAAACAGGAUUAGAUACCCUGGUAGCUACGAGU
rnacentral:rRNA from 1 species